rnacentral:rRNA from 1 species
UACGAAGGGGGCGAGCGUUGUUCGGAUUUACUGGGCGUAAAGGGCGCGCAGGCGGCCGGCCAAGUCAGGCGUGAAAGCCCCGGGCUUAACCUGGGAAUUGCGUCUGGGACUGGUUGGCUAGAGAUCGGGAGAGGAGAGUGGAAUUCCCAGUGUAGAGGUGAAAUUCGUAGAUAUUGGGAAGAACACCGGUGGCGAAGGCGGCUCACUGGCCCGGUACUGACGCUGAGGUGCGAAAGCGUGGGGAGCAAACAGG